AACGAACGCUGGCGGCAUGCCUAACACAUGCAAGUCGAACGGGAACUUCCGGACUAGUGGCGCACUGCUGGGUAACGCGACGGGACCUUCACUUAGGUUCGGAAUGACCUGCCGUUCGGGAUGCUAAUACGGGAUUAUGUCUUCUGACCAAAGGUUUAACGCCUUAGGGUCGGCUGGCGGUGGAUUUGCUAGUUGGUAGUGUAAAGGCCUACCAACGUGACGGCCCAUAGCUGGUGUGAGAGGAUGAUCAGCCACACUGGGACUGAGGCACGGCGCAGACGGCUACAGGGGGCAGCAGUGGGGAGUAUUAGACAAUGGGCGAGAGUCUGAUCCAGCAAUGCCGCGUGAGUGAUGAAGGCCUUAGGGUUGUAAAGCUCUUUUACCCGGGAUGAUAAUGACAGUACCGGGAGAAUAAGCUCCGGCUAACUCCGUG
rnacentral:rRNA from 1 species